rnacentral:rRNA from 1 species
AGCGAACGCUGGCGGCAGGCUUAACACAUGCAAGUCGAGCGGGCCCUUCGGGGUCAGCGGCAGACGGGUGAGUAACGCGUGGGAACGUGCCCUUCGGUUCGGAAUAACUCAGGGAAACUUGAGCUAAUACCGGAUACGCCCUUAUGGGGAAAGGCUUGCUGCCGAAGGAUCGGCCCGCGUCUGAUUAGCUAGUUGGUGAGGUUAUGGCUCACCAAGGCGACGAUCAGUAGCUGGUCUGAGAGGAUGAUCAGCCACACUGGGACUGAGACACGGCCCAGACUCCUACGGGAGGCAGCAGUGGGGAAUAUUGGACAAUGGGGGCAACCCUGAUCCAGCCAUGCCGCGUGAGUGAUGACGGCCUUAGGGUUGUAAAACUCUUUUCUCCGGGACGAUAAUGACGGUACCGGAGGAAUAAGCCCCGGCUAACUUCGUG